GUCGAACGGUAACAUUUCUAGCUUGCUAGAAGAUGACGAGUGGCGGACGGGUGAGUAAUGCUUGGGAACUUGCCUUUGCGAGGGGGAUAACAGUUGGAAACGACUGCUAAUACCGCAUAAUGUUCUACGGACUCGGUCCGAAGGACCAAACGGGGCUUCGGCUCCGGCGCAAAGAGAGGCCCAAGUGAGAUUAGCUAGUUGGUAAGGUAACGGCUUACCAAGGCGACGAUCUCUAGCUGUUCUGAGAGGAAGAUCAGCCACACUGGGACUGAGACACGGCCCAGACUCCUACGGGAGGCAGCAGUGGGGAAUAUUGCACAAUGGGGGAAACCCUGAUGCAGCCAUGCCGCGUGUGUGAAGAAGGCCUUCGGGUUGUAAAGCACUUUCAGUUGUGAGGAAAAGUUAGUAGUUAAUACCUGCUAGCCGUGACGUUAACAACAGAAGAAGCACCGGCUAACUCCGUGCCAGCAGCCGCGGUAAUACGGAGGGUGCGAGCGUUAAUCGGAAUUACUGGGCGUAAAGCGCACGCAGGCGGUUUGUUAAGCUAGAUGUGAAAGCCCCGGGCUCAACCUGGGAUGGUCAUUUAGAACUGGCAGACUAGAGUCUUGGAGAGGGGAGUGGAAUUCCAGGUGUAGCGGUGAAAUGCGUAGAUAUCUGGAGGAACAUCAGUGGCGAAGGCGACUCCCUGGCCAAAGACUGACGCUCAUGUGCGAAAGUGUGGGUAGCGAACAGGAUUAGAUACCCUGGUAGUCCACACCGUAAACGCUGUCUACUAGCUGUGUGUG
rnacentral:rRNA from 1 species